GACGAACGCUGGCGGCGUGCUUAACACAUGCAAGUCGAACGGAAAGGCCCUGCUUUUGUGGGGUGCUCGAGUGGCGAACGGGUGAGUAACACGUGAGUAACCUGCCCUUGACUUUGGGAUAACUUCAGGAAACUGGGGCUAAUACCGGAUAGGAGCUCCUGCUGCAUGGUGGGGGUUGGAAAGUUUCGGCGGUUGGGGAUGGACUCGCGGCUUAUCAGCUUGUUGGUGGGGUAGUGGCUUACCAAGGCUUUGACGGGUAGCCGGCCUGAGAGGGUGACCGGCCACAUUGGGACUGCGAUACGGCCCAGACGCCUACGGGAGGCAGCAGUGGGGAGUAUUGCACAAUGGGCGGAAGCCUGAGGCAGCAACGCCGCGUGCGGGAUGACGGCCUUCGGGUUGUAAACCGCUUUCGCCUGUGACGAAGCGUGAGUGACGGUAAUGGGUAAAGAAGCACCGGCUAACUACGUG
rnacentral:rRNA from 1 species